UACGAAGGGGGCUAGCGUUGCUCGGAAUCACUGGGCGUAAAGCGCACGUAGGCGGCUCCUUAAGUCGGGGGUGAAAUCCUGGAGCUCAACUCCAGAACUGCCUUCGAUACUGAGGAUCUCGAGUCCGGGAGAGGUGAGUGGAACUGCGAGUGUAGAGGUGAAAUUCGUAGAUAUUCGCAAGAACACCAGUGGCGAAGGCGGCGCACUGGCCCGGUACUGACGCUGAGGUGCGAAAGCCAGGGGAGCAAACGGG
rnacentral:rRNA from 1 species